UUCCGGUUGAUCCUGCCGGACCCCACUGCUAUCGGGGUGGGACUAAAACAUGCGAGUCGAGCGCCUUCAAGCCAUGGUGAAGGUGCGGCGAACGGCUCAGUAACACGUGGCUAACCUACCCUUUGGACGGGGACAACCCCGGGAAACUGGGGCUAAUCCCUGAUAGAUGAGGAGGCCUGGAAUGGUUUCUCAUCUAAAAGGUGUUUAGACCAUGCUUCUAGGCGUCGCCAAAGGAUGGGGCCGCGGCCGAUCAGGUUGUUGGUGAGGUAACGGCUCACCAAGCCUAUAACCGGUACGGGCCGUGAGAGCGGGAGCCCGGAGAUGGGCACUGAGAUAAGGGCCCAGGCCCUACGGGGCGCAGCAGUUGCGAAAACUCCGCAAUGCGCGAAAGCGUGACGGGGCUACCCCGAGUGCCGUCCGCUGAGGACGGCUUUUCCACGGUGUAAGGAGCCGUGGGAAUAAGGAGAGGGCAAGUCUGGUGUCAGCCGCCGCGGUAAUACCAGCUCUCCGAGUGGUGGGGAUGAUUAUUGGGCUUAAAGCGUUCGUAGCCGGCUCGGCAAGUCUUCCGUUAAAUCCAGCGAUCUAAUCGUUGGACUGCGGGAGAUACUGUUGGGCUAGGGGGCGGGAGAAGCCGACGGUAUUCUCGGGGUAGGGGUGAAAUCCUAUAAUCCCUGAAAGACCACCAGUGGCGAAGGCGGUCGGCUAGAACGCGCCCGACGGUGAGGGACGAAAGCUGGGGGAGCGAACCGGAUUAGAUACCCGGGUAGUCCCAGCUGUAAACGAUGCGGGCUAGGUGUUGGGGCGGUUACGAACCGCUUCAGUGCCGCACGGAAGCAAUUAAGCCCGCCGCCUGGGGAGUACGGCCGCAAGGCUGAAACUUAAAGGAAUUGGCGGGGG
rnacentral:rRNA from 1 species